rnacentral:rRNA from 1 species
AUUGAACGCUAGCGGCAGGCUUAACACAUGCAAGUCGAGGGGUAGAGGCUUUCGGGCCUUGAGACCGGCGCACGGGUGCGUAACGCGUAUGCAAUCUGCCUUGUACUGGGGGAUAGCCCAGAGAAAUUUGGAUUAAUACCCCAUAGUAUUUUCGGUUGGCAUCAACUGAUUAUUAAAGUUUUUCGGUACAAGAUGAGCAUGCGUCCCAUUAGCUAGUUGGUAUGGUAACGGCAUACCAAGGCUACGAUGGGUAGGGGUCCUGAGAGGGAAAUCCCCCACACGGGUACUGAGACACGGACCAGACUCCGACGGGAGGCAGCAGUGGGGAAUAUGGGUAAAUGGUCGCAAGACUGAACCAGCCAUGCCGCGUGCAGGAUGAAGCAUCUAUGGUGUGUAAACUGCUUUUGUACGGGAAGAAACACUCCUACGUGUAGGGGCUUGACGGUACCGUAAGAAUAAGGAUCGGCUAACUCCGUGCCAGCCGCCGCCGUAAGAC